GAUGAACGCUGGCGGCGUGCUUAACACAUGCAAGUCGAACGGUGAAGGCGGAGCUUGCUCUGCUGGAUCAGUGGCGAACGGGUGAGUAACACGUGAGUAAUCUGCCCCUGACUCUGGGAUAAGCGCUGGAAACGGCGUCUAAUACUGGAUACGAGCUGCCAAGGCAUCUUCAGCAGCUGGAAAGAAGUUCGGUCAGGGAUGAGCGCGCGGCCUAUCAGCUUGUUGGUGGGGUAAUGGCUCACCAAGGCGUCGAAGGGUAGCCGGCAGGAGAGGGUGAACGGCCACACUGGGACUGAGAGACGGCCCAGACUGCUACGGGAGGCAGCAGUGGGGAAUAUUGUACAAUGGGCGAAAGCCUGAUGCAGCAACGCCGCGUGAGGGAAGACGGCCUUCGGGUUGUAAACCUCUUUUAGCAGGGAAGAAGCGAAAGUGACGGUACCUGCAGAAAAAGCGCCGGCUAACUACGUG
rnacentral:rRNA from 1 species